rnacentral:rRNA from 1 species
AACGAACGCUGGCGGCAGGCUUAACACAUGCAAGUCGAACGCAUGCCUUCGGGCAUGAGUGGCAGACGGGUGAGUAACGCGUGGGAACCUACCCCUUGGUACGGGAUAGCUCCGGGAAACUGGAGAUAAUACCGUAUGUGUCCUGAGGGACAAAGAUUCAUCGCCAAGGGAUGGGCCCGCGGCGGAUUAGCUAGUUGGUGGGGUAACGGCCUACCAAGGCGACGAUCCGUAGCUGGUCUAAGAGGAUGAUCAGCCACAUUGGGACUGAGACACGGCCCAAACGAAGAUGCGAGGGAGCAGUGCAGUAGGUAGUAGAAUGGAGGGAAGCGUGAUGAAGAAAUGUCGUGGGCGGGAUGAAGGAAUUAGGGUAGUAAAGCGAGUGCGCAGGGGACGAAGCGCGAGUGACGGUAAUGGGUAAAGAAGCACAGGCGAGAUACGUG